UGAAAUUAAAAAGCUAGGAGAGUAUAUGUUCAAAUGGUAAAGUAGGCAGGGCUUCCUUCAAUUUGCAAGUUGUGUUGCUUUUAUACAACUUUUGUAGAACUAUGCAUGGAAAAUGCUACACCUUAUCCCUGUGGAACGUGGAAAAGUGAAAAAGGUUGCAUCACUAAUUUGUUUGCUUUCAAUUUGGAGAUGGGCUGACUGUGCCCUGCAGUGAAAUGGGAAACGUCCUGAAAGUUCUUUUUAUUAAAUUAAUUUUUUUUGUGUUCUGUAGUGCAUUUUCAUUGAAUGAAGAACUACAAUGGGCAUUACUUGGCUUGGGAUUUCUUAUGCAUACUUCUGGAAGCAAGAAUAGGUGGGCAAUGGGUAUCGCAUACUGGCAUAUUGCUGUUGGAGAAACAAAAUCUUGUUUCGUUUUACUAUUGUGGAGAAGAGAUAAAUUUCCUUUUGAGUGAUGCUGGCUUGUUUAGGUCUUUUAUUAAUGGGUUUCUAGAAUGUAUUCUCCCCCAGCUUU
rnacentral:misc_RNA from 1 species